rnacentral:rRNA from 1 species
AUGGUCUACUUAAGGUUGCAACCUUAUGCUCAAUCAACUGUGGUAAAUCGUCCUUGUCACAAGCUGGCUCUCAAGUACUUUGGUCCAUACAAAAUUUUGGAGAAAUUGGGAAAUGCAGCAUAUCUCCUGGAGCUACCAAGAGGGAGCCAGGUGCAUCCGGUCUUCUAUGUCUCCCAGUUGAAGGGACAUGUGCCAGAUCACACCCCAGUGUUCGCCACGUUUCCACUGCCGGUUGAUCUGUCAGCACUAGGAGUGGUACCAAAGGAAAUUCUCGAUCGGCGUCUGGUCAAGAAGGGCAAUGCAGCACAUCUGCAGAUUUUGGUGAAAUGGGCGAUGAUUCCAGCUUCAUCAAUGACCUGGGAGGAUUAUGAGGUUCUCAAGGCACGAUACCCGAGUGCACCAGCUUGGGGACAAGUUGGUUCUUCACACUACAAAAAAAGACACAUCCGUGACAUUUUGGGCCGAACGAAUUUUGUGUGUGUCAUACAUAUGACACUUCUAUGA